GAAAACUGGCUUGUGGCAGCCAAGUGUUAAGGGAUGUUGCUUUUUGAUCCUUUGAGGUCGGCUGUUGCUAUCACGGUGAAGCAGAAUUCACCAAGCAUUGGACUGUUCGCCUACUGAUGGGGAACAUAAGCUGAGUUUAGACUGUCAUGAGAUGGGUU
rnacentral:ncRNA from 1 species